AACGUCUGCUCUGAUUGCUUAGAGCGCUGGGGGAGGCACAGACACCUGGGUCUGGGCAGGGUGCCGACGAAGAAGAGAUGUCUGCCUUGACAAGUAUCAGCAGAAAGGACUCUAGCUCUAGGAUCCCAUCUGGUGCAGACCUAUGCAGGCCCAGGCCCUGGGCAUCUGGUGCAGACCUAUGCAGGCCCUGUGCAUGCUGCCACAGUCUCGGUGAGUUCUUAUGUGUGCCAGCUUUGUUGUGUCUAGAAGGCCUUGAGUCCUUGGUGUCCCCUUAACAUACAGAGGUCUUCCAUGUUUUCUCUCAGGUGAUAUGUCUAAUGUGGUUGGUACAACAUUCACCUAUACAUCCUGUGCUAAGGAGCACUACCAACAAAUACUCUCUGACAAAAACAUUAAUGAUUAAGGUUCAAGAAUUUUUUUGUUUUUAUUUAUAUAAAGAUUAUGAAGGGGUCAAGAUAAACACUUAGAUGAAAGCAAAUCAUUUAUGUGAGUAUUUAGUCUGCCUAUGUAAAGACAAUGUUUAUAUUUUCUAUGUUUAUUCCCAAAAGAGCAAGGAAGAUAAUGCCCCUCUUUUUGCCCAGUCUCAUUAGCCAAAUGAGGAUAAAAUGCUACACCAAAAUCACCUUAUGAGUCUCUCUCUCUCCAUUGAUUGAAAUAGAUAGAUAGAUGAUAGAUGACAGACAGGUAGAUAGAUCGACAGAUGAUAGAUUGAUAGAUGAUAGAUAGCUGUGGGAUGGUCUGUAUGUCAAAUGUGUUGCUGAUUGGUCAAUGAAUAAAUCACUGAUUGGCAGUGGCCAGGCAGGAAGUAUAGGCGGGACUAACAGAGAGGAGAAUUGAGAGAACAGGAAGCUGGGUGGGGGAGACACUGCCAGCCGCCAUGAUGACAAGCCGCAUGUAAAGGUGCCGGUAAGCCACAAGCCAUGUGGCAAGGUAUAGAUUAAUAGAAAUGGAUUAAUUUAAGCUGUAAGAACAGUUAGCAAGAAGCCUGCCACGGCCAUACAGUUUGUAACCAAUAUAAGUCUCUGUGUUUACUUGAUCGGGUUUGAGCAGCUUGGGACUGGCGGGUGAGAGAGCUUUGUCCUGACUGUGGGCCAGGCAGGAAAAGUCUAGCAACAAAUGAUGUCCAACGUGGUGGCAAGAGUUUCCACCUAAAACCUGAGGAAAAAAUUCUAAAACGGAGCUAAAAACAGCUUCCUAAUUGUCUCUCUCAAAUGAGCGGCAGCUGCCGGUUUGAGCUACUGGCGGGUUGCUGGCGUGCGUGCUCGACCUGCCGCCUUAUAUAUAGCGGGAAUGAGGCCUCUGCAAGUGGCACAUUAAGCUACAUUGUGCAUUUAGCCUUUGCUAGUACAAAACAAAAAAAGAGGUUUCUGGGGUACACGCUGCUUGGAUAAAAGCAUAGACCCACGAUAGCUCCCAGAGCUGGUGGUAAAGUACCACGCCAUGUUGGGAAGCUGAGGUGGGCGGAGCCAGCAGCCAUAGCUGCUGCAGCUUAAAGCAAUAGAUUCACAAUAAGACAGAUUCAGAUGUAAUAGUUUACAAUGUGUGUAAAAAAUACGUAGGCUUGAAAGAGACAAAAAAGGUGAUAUAUACAGUAUAGAAACAAAUACAUGGUUUUAAAAAAUAAAGUCUUUAAAGAGACAGUAAAAUUAAUAUAAAAAAUAAGCCACGUGAAGAUGAAUAUUACACAGAGAAUCUGGAUUGUGUUGUCUUUGGGAUUUUUAACUGCAGAAAAACAUUUGAUUGUAAAAGCUGUUGAGUUAUGCCAAAAUGUAUAUUUUAAAGGUACUUUGACUUCAAAAUUUGGAUAUAAGGAUAUGUUGCUUUGGAAAGGAGAUUCUGCUUUUGUUCCCAAAGAAAGCCAGAGGCUAUGGAUUUGUUCCAGAUUAAGAUACAUCAGGUUUGACCAGCCAAGACCCCCUGAAAGGUGACACCAAGGCCCAGAUGAUCCAACAUCUAGAAUGGUUUCAAGGCAACUGGCUUAGACGAUACAGCUUCACGGACUACUCCAUGAUCCUAAAAUUUUCUUUGUUUCCCCAGAAGAUACAGUGCCCCCCUCCAGCAGGAAGUAGUAAGAGAAGCUACGCCCAAAUUCCCAAAUAUACCAAGCUGACUUUGGAGAUGUGUAAAUGUUAAAACCUUCCUUUUUAAGAAAAGAAAAGGGGAAGUGCUGUGGGAUGGUCUGUAUGUCAAAUGUGUUGCUGAUUGGUCAAUGAAUAAAUCACUGAUUGGCAGUGGCCAGGCAGGAAGUAUAGGCGGGACUAACAGAGAGGAGAAUUGAGAGAACAGGAAGCUGGGUGGGAGAGACACUGCCAGCCGCCAUCAGGACAAGGAAGAUGUAAAGUACCGGUAAGCCACGAGCCAUGUGGCAAGGUAUAGAUUAAUGGAAAUGGAUUAAUUUAAGCUGUAAGAACAGUUAGCAAGAAGCCUGCCAUGGCCAUACAGUUUGUAACCAAUAUAAGUCUCUGUGUUUAUUUGGUUGGGUCUGAAUGGCUGUGGGACUGGCGGGUGUCAGAGAUUUGUCCUGACUGUGGGCCAGGCAGGAAAGCUCGAGCUACACCCCUCUUUUUGCCCAGUCUCAUUAGCCUAAUGAGGAUAAAAUGCUACACCAAAAUCACCUUAUGAGUCUCUCUCUCUCUCCAUUGAUUGAAACAGAUAGAUAGAUGAUAGAUGACAGACAGGUAGAUAGAUCGACAGAUGAUAGAUUGAUAGAUGAUAGAUAGCUGGACAGACAGACAGACAGACAGAUAGAUAGAUAGAUAGAUAGACAGAUAGAUAUAGAUAGAUAGAUGAUAGAUCAUAGAUGAUAAAUGAUAGAUUGAUAGAUGACUGACAGAUGAUAGAUGACAGAUAGAUAGAUAGAUAGAUAGAUAGAUAGAUAGAUAGAUAGAAAGAUAGAUAGAUAGAUAGACAGCUAUUGUGUAUAUAGAGUAAGAAGAAGAGCAAUUUUUAAUAACACCCUAGAUCCAAACUAAGAAAGAAGACAAAAAUACUAGGGUAUGCAUAUUACUACAUGUUGUAGUUCCUCUCUGUAAACUCUAGUAUUUUAAAUCUUACUAAGAAUCAUUUAAGAGUAUUUCAUCUGUGUUCUGUAGUAUCACACUUCAUAGUGAUAGUGGUAAGCAAUGUUUUUUUUUCAAACAUAGGGUCUCCAUUAAAAACAAAAUUAGAUUUAAGUUUACAGCAUCCACAUUCCUUGUAUAUGUCAAAGAAUCUCCAUUCAGAUAUAUAUACUGAUACAAACACAAAAACUAAUAAUUAAAGAUUUUUACUUGGAAAAUAGGAAAUGAACCUAAUAAAAUUCCAUUUAAAAGGAAGCAUUUCCCUUUUAUCCCAGCACUUGGGAGGCAGAGGCACACACAGAUCUCUCAGUUUGAAGCCAGUCUGGUCUACAGAGUGAGCUCCAGGACAGCAGGGCUAUGUAUCUGGACCAGUGAGAUGGCUCAGAAGGUAAAGGCACCUGACACAAGCCUGAUGACCUGACUCCAUCCCUGGGACCUACAUGAUAGGAGAGAAUCAACUCCCUCAAGCUGUCCUCUGACCUCAUUGCAUGAUCUAUAGCUUGAGCACACACACACACACACACACACACACACACACACACACACA